AAGAAAAUAAGGGCAGACGGUGGAUGCCUAGGCUCUUGGAGGCGAAGAAGGACGUGAUAAGCUGCGAAAAGCCCGGACUAGGUGCAAAUGACCGCUUGAAUCCGGGAUAUCCGAAUGGGGCAACCCGUCAGGCUGAAGGCCUGACAUCCGCGAAGCGGAGGCGAACGUGGGGAACUGAAACAUCUAAGUACCCACAGGAAGAGAAAAUAAAAAUGAUUCCGCAAGUAGUGGCGAGCGAACGCGGAAGAGCCCAAACCAAUAUUGUUUAGGCAAUGUUGGGGUUGUAGGAGCACGAUACGGUACGACUCAUUGAAAGUGGAAUCAACUGGAAAGUUGAAUCAGAGAGGGUGACAAUCCCGUACACGACUUUGAUGAUAAGCCAAGUGUUAUCCUGAGUAGCGCGGGACACGAGAAAUCCUGUGUGAAUCGGCGGGGCCCAUCCCGCAAGGCUAAAUACUCCCAAGAGACCGAUAGUGAACCAGUACCGUGAGGGAAAGGUGAAAAGAACCUCGAACAGAGGAGUGAAAAAGACCCUGAACCCGUCUGCCUACAAGCGGUCGGAGCAGCGAGAGCUGUGACGGCGUGCCUUUUGCAUAAUGAACCUACGAGUUACUUUUGAUGGCAAGGUUAAGUAAUUGAGUUACGGAGCCGAAGCGAAAGCGAGUCUGAACAGGGCGUAUAGUCAUCAGGAGUAGACGCGAAACCAAGUGAUCUACCCAUGAGCAGGCUGAAGGUUAGGUAACACUAACUGGAGGGCCGAACCGGUAAAUGUUGAAAAAUUUUCGGAUGACUUGUGGGUAGGGGUGAAAGGCUAAUCAAACUUGGAGAUAGCUCGUACUCCCCGAAAUGCAUUUAGGUGCAGCCUUAAAUAUUUUUUGUAUGAGGUAGAGCGACUGAUUGGAUGCGAGGGCUUCGCCGCCUAUCAAGUCCAGACAAACUCCGAAUGCGUACAAAAAGAGUUUAGGAGUGAGGGCAUGGGUGCUAAGGUCCAUGUCCGAGAGGAGAAGAAUCCAGACCAUCAGCUAAGGUCCCGAAAUAUACGCUCAGUUGGAUUAACGAAGUUGGGUUACAGCGACAGCUAGGAUGUUGGCUUGGAAGCAGCCAUUCAUUUAAAGAGUGCGUAACAGCUCACUAGUCGAGUGACCCGGCGUGGAUAAUACUCGGGCAUAAGCGUAUUACCGAAGCUAUGGGAUUAACGCAAGUUAAUCGGUAGGGGAGCAUUCCAAUCACCGUAGAAGAUAUAGGGACGACCGAUGUUGGAGGGAUUGGAAAAGCAAAUGUAGGUAUAAGUAACGAUAAUGCGGGCGAGAAACCCGCACGCCGCAAGACCAAGGUUUCCUGAUCAACGUUAAUCGGAUCAGGGUCAGUCGGGGCCUAAGGCUCAUCCGAACGGAGAGGCCGAUGGAAGAAACAGUUAAUAUUCUGUUACUAGUAUAUUGAGAGAAGUGGGGACGGAGAAGUGAAACUUCUGCCAUCUGACGGAAUAGAUGGUUAAAGGGUGUAGAUGUAGAUAUUCGUAGGCAAAUCCGCGGAUAGAAUCGAACCUGAUAGUACCUCGAGUGCCUGCACGAGAGGAUAAUGAAGGUAAACAGGCUUCCAAGAAAAACCGCUAUCGUUAAUUGAUAUACUACCCGUACCGAAAACCGACACAGGUGGUUGAGUAGAAUAUACUAAGGCGCUCGAGCGAAUCAUUGUUAAGGAAUUAGGCAAAAUGGUCCUGUAACUUCGGGAAAAAGGACACCUCCCUAUGCGAGUAGGAGGUCGCAGAGAAUAGGUCCAGGCGACUGUUUAACAAAAACACAUGGCUGUGCAAAAUUUAGAGAUGACGUAUACAGCCUGACACCUGCCCGGUGCUGGAAGGUUAAGAGGAGAGCUCAUAAGCAAUUAGAAGGUUUGAAUUGAAGCCCCAGUAAACGGCGGCCGUAACUAUAACGGUCCUAAGGUAGCGAAAUUCCUUGUCGGGUAAGUUCCGACCUGCACGAAUGGUGUAACGAUCUGGACACUGUCUCAACAAUGAACUCGGUGAAAUUGUAGUAUCGGUGAAGAUGCCGAUUACCCGCAACGGGACGAAAAGACCCCGUGAACCUUUACUAUAGCUUUACAUUGGAAUUGGUCACUCGAUGUGUAGGAUAGGCCGGAGGCAAUGAAGCAGGUACGCCAGUAUUUGUGGAGCCGCUGUUGAAAUACGGCCCUUUGAAUGUUUGAUUCCUAACCCUUUUAAGAGGGGACAUUGUAUGGUGGGUAGUUUGACUGGGGUGGUCGCCUCCAAAAGAGUAACGGAGGCUUCUCAAGGUGCGCUCCGUCCGAUUGGUAACCGGACUCAGAGUGUAAUGGCAUAAGCGCGCUUGACUGGGAGACCGACAAGUCGAUCAGGUAGGAAACUAGAGCAUAGUGAUCCGGUGGUUUCAGUAUGGAAUGGCCAUCGCUCAAAGGAUAAAAGGUACUCCGGGGAUAACAGGCUGAUCAUUCCCAAGAGCUCAUAUCGACGGAAUGGUUUGGCACCUCGAUGUCGGCUCGUCACAUCCUGGGGCUGGAGAAGGUCCCAAGGGUUGGGCUGUUCGCCCAUUAAAGUGGCACGCGAGCUGGGUUCAGAACGUCGUGAGACAGUUCGGUCUCUAUCUGUUGUGGGCGUAGGAUAUUUGCGAGGGUCUGACACUAGUACGAGAGGACCGUGUUGGACAGACCACUGGUUUGACGGUUGUACCGCCAGGUGCAUAGCCGUGUAGCUAAGUUUGGAAAGGAUAAGUGCUGAAAGCAUCUAAGUACGAAGCCAACCUCAAGAUAAGAUAUCCAUGAGGGUCGUUGAAGACUACGACGUAGAUAGGCUGCAGGUGUACCAUUGGAGACAAUAUUAGCCGAGCAGUACUAAUAGCCCGAAA
rnacentral:rRNA from 1 species